rnacentral:rRNA from 1 species
GGGCCCGCACAAGCGGUGGAGCAUGUGGUUUAAUUCGAUGAUACGCGAGGAACCUUACCAGGACUUAAAUGUAAGUUGCAUGAUUCAGAAAUGGAUCUUUCUUCGGACUACUUACAAGGUGCUGCAUGGUUGUCGUCAGCUCGUGCCGUGAGGUGUCAGGUUAAGUCCUAUAACGAGCGCAACCCCUAUCGUUAGUUGCCAUCAAGUAAAGUUGGGAACUCUAGCGAAACUGCCGGUGCAAACCGUGAGGAAGGUGGGGAUGACGUCAAAUCAUCACGGCCCUUACGUCCUGGGCCACACACGUGCUACAAUGGUCAGUACAGAAAGCAGCCACUAUGCGAAUAGGAGCUAAUCUUUAAAACCGGUCUCAGUUCGGAUCGCAGUCUGCAACUCGACUGCGUGAAGCUGGAAUCGCUAGUAA